rnacentral:rRNA from 1 species
GACGUAGGGUGCGAGCGUUGUCCGGAUUUAUUGGGCGUAAAGAGCUCGUAGGCGGUUUGUUGCGUCGGCUGUGAAAUCCCGAGGCUCAACCUCGGGUCUGCAGUCGAUACGAGCAAACUAGAGUGUUGCAGGGGAGACUGGAAUUCCUGGUGUAGCGGUGAAAUGCGCAGAUAUCAGGAGGAACACCGGUGGCGAAGGCGGGUCUCUGGGCAACAACUGACGCUGAGGAGCGAAAGCGUGGGGAGCGAACAAG